rnacentral:rRNA from 1 species
CCUACGGGAGGCUGCAGUGGGGAAUUUUGGACAAUGGGCGCAAGCCUGAUCCAGCCAUUCCGCGUGAGUGAAGAAGGCCUUCGGGUUGUAAAGCUCUUUCGCAAGGGAAGAAAACUUAUCCUCUAACAUAGGAUGAGGUUGACGGUACCUUGAUAAGAAGCACCGGCUAACUACGUGCCAGCAGCCGCGGUAAUACGUAGGGUGCGAACGUUAAUCGGAACGUGUGGGCGUAGUGCUGUCGGUCGCUGGUGAAAUCCCCGAGCUCAACUUGGGAACUGCGUUUGAAACUACAAGACUAGAAUAGGUCAGAGGGGGGUAGAAUUCCACGUGUAGCAGUGAAAUGCGUAGAGAUGUGGAGGAAUAUCAAUGGCGAAGGCAGCCCCCUGGGAUCAUAUUGACGCUCAUGCACGAAAGCGUGGGGAGCAAACAGGAUUAGAUACCCCAGUAGUC